UUUUUCCACCCACUGAGUAUUAUAAUGUAUUUAUAAUCCACUCAAUUGCUGACUGAUCGACAAAGUUCUUUGAGGAUUUUGCAAUAUUCCAUGGAGGAAUUUUAAACAUUGCGAAAAGUUUCAGAAGGUUCACACGUACGGUGUGAGGUCGUCGGGAGACGAUUUGCCUUGUUCGCCCUCUGGUGAGGAUCUGGGAAACUACCGUAAUGGGAGACCUAUCAGCUGAUUAGGCGCCAGAUCACCAUGUGUAUGAAAUUACAUUUUAGGAAUUGAUAAAUCUAAAGAAGUAAUGGCGGUCAUGAAUCUGCUGAAAGUUGGCAAAUGGAAAAGACAACAUUGAGGUCGCAAACUUGGGAGUAAAAUAUCGAAAAAAUAAAACGUGUAUCAGCCUGCUCGCUGUGAGGAAGUGAUCGAGGAGCUCAGGCAAUGCUGCAUUAAGCAUUCGGAGAAUUCGGUGGUGUGUGACGGAAUUGAUAUAUCGAAACCCUACGAGCACAAUACGGUGGAUUAU